CCAUGCCCGACAAGGUUGGGUCCUCCACGUUCACAUCCAUCCAGACCCAUCUUUAAAUUGCCAAAUACCGUCCGGACCUCAGUGACAUAAUCCUCCCAAAUCCCGCGAUCCCGCUCUCAAUUUCUGCGAUGUGGUUGCACUCUCAAUUUUUCCUCUCACAAAUUUCAAUAAUUUGAAUUGUAUUUCAAAGGCACUUUCACACUUGAGUUUCCGCUCUCGCACGUACGAAUGUCACUUAGGUUCAGACAGAAUGAUUCUCAAAAAACUAAAAACAAGAAAGAGUCCAGACAGAAAAUUACAGAACCAUGGUAAAUGCUCAAAUCGUAAGCACGUUUUUCUGUCAGAUUUUUGUGCAGAGAGAAAGUCUGUGAGUUCCUGAAUUUUGGUUUCUGCAUUGCAUAUUUAGGACUUGCAAAAUAGUAUCAAAUAAGAUGGAGAUUAGCAUCGUAAACAACCGAGUCAUUUUAUAUUAAGUUUUUGCUAACCUCCACCCAUUAGACGGAAGAUAAUAUGUAUAUAAUGAUAAAUAAAUUUAGAUUUUAAAACACAUUUCACGGAUAUUAAUACAUUUUUUUUAAUAUCGAUACACUUUCUAUCUAUUAUCCCCGUCAAAUAGACGGAAGUUUGCAUUUUCCUUUCUAUUAUUUUUCAGUGGAUAAUACAAGAUCUCGAAGUUAUUGAUAGGUACAAAGUGAUUCAUGAGGUAGGAUAGUGGUGAUGGUGGAAGGUGGCAGCUGUGGAGAGAUAGAAAUGCAAGGUUGCGGGAAGAUGGCGGCGGUGGUUUGGAGAGGUGGGUGGCUUACAAUUUCCUGUAAAUUCAAUCAGAAGUAUGAAAUCUUUUUUUUCUGUCAAAGAAGAAAGUGUUAGGUUCGACCCCAGCAAGGCGGGCUUAGGAGACUCAUACUCGGACCUUAUCCAACCAGGUUCGACUUUUCACUGUUGACUUAUCCAACCAGGUCGGACCUUAUCCAACACGCCAUUGGUGUAAAGUAUGAAUACCAGAUUUAUUUUUUACCACUUACUGCAUUCAAUUUUGAGUGCUGAAUCGAAUUAUAAACAUCUAGAAAAAUCUAGGACUGAAGGGACCAUGUGCAAUGCGUGACAUAACUGCACCCUCACUCAAAUCAACAAACAAUUGCCUUAUUCCUGUAAUCUGAAAAGGAAAAAAAAAAACGCGCGCUGGGGCUAGCUUCAAAAAAAAUUGCUCUAGAUAAUACAAAACCAUGACGAUAUUGAUUGGUGAGUUUGAUAGUGUACACAUUGUCUCACUGCCAAAUUUUUAAGUACAAAAGCUCAUAAAAUUUCAAUCAGAAGACAAUAGCUUUUGGCAUGGACUUCAAUAUUGCAAUCCCACUUGAAAGACCAGAUAUCAAUCAACAGUUACAACAAUGUGAAUACAAGAAUCAUGUUGAUAGCUAUACCUCUACCCCAUGCAAGCUCUCUGCGUUUUGCAUCGCACUGUCGGAUUUACUACAAGAUUCACUGGUCCCGGAUCCUGUCUUUUCUAAAUGUUGCAGGAAAUCCAUCACCAGAGGAUCAGUCCAUGGAGCGCCACGAGGAGCCUCGGCGCCA